rnacentral:lncRNA from 1 species
UAAUGUAACUGACAUCUACAUAAGUAUUCAGGCCCUUUACUCAGUACUUUGUUGAAGCACCUUUGGCAGCGAUUACAGCCUCAAGUCUUCUUGGGUAUGACGCUACAAGCUUGGCACACCUGUAUUUUGGGAGUUUCUCCCAUUUCUUCUUUGCAGAUCCUCUCAAGCACUGUCAGGUUGGAUGGGGAGCGUGGGCAGCUCUAUUCAGAUCUCUCCCAGAGAUGUUCGAUCUGGUUCAAAUUUGAGUCUCGUAGCAACGGGUCUGAAUACUUAUGUAAAUAAGGUACAGUUGAAGUCUGAAGUUUACAUACACCUUAGCCAAAUACAUUUAAACUCAGUUUUUUACAAUUCCUGACAUUUAAUCCUAGUAAAAAUUCCCUGUCUUAGGUCAGUUAGGAUCACCACUUUAUUUUAAGAAUGUCAAAUGUCAUAACAAUAGCAGAGUGAUAUAUUUCAGCUUUUAUGUCUUCCAUCACAUUCCCAGUGGGUCAGAAGUUUACAUACACUCAAUUAGUAUUUGGUAGCAUUGCCUUUAAAUAGAUUAACUUGGGUCAAAUGUUUCAGGUAGCCUUCCACAAGCUUCCCACAAGUCAGUUUUGUAGGCCUCCUUGCUCGCACACGUUAUUUCAAUUUUGCCCACAAAUUUUCUAUAGGAUUAAGGUCAGGUCUUUGAUGGCCAUUCCAAUACCUUGACUUUGUUUUCCUUAAGCCAUUUUUGCCACAACUUUGGAAGUAUGCUUGGGGUCAUUGUCCAUUUGGAAGACCCAUUUGCAACCAAGCUUUAACUUCCUGACUGAUGUCUUGAGAUGUUGCUUCAAUAUAUCCCCAUAAUUUUCCUAGCUCAUGAUGCCAUCUAUUUUGUGAAGUGCACCAGUCCCUCCUGCAGCAAAGCACCCCCACAACAUGAUACUGCCCCCCGUGCUUCACGGUUGGGAUGGUGUUCUUCGGCUUGCAAGCGUCCUCCUUUUUCCUCCAAACAUAACGAUGGUCAUUAUGCCCAAACAGUUCUAUUUUUGUUUCAUCAGACCGGAGGACAUUUCUCCAAAAAGUACGAUCUUUGUCCUCAUGUGCAGUUGCAAACCGUAGUCUGGCUUUUUUAUGGCUGUUUUUGAGCAGUGGCUUCUUCCUUGCUGAGCGGCCUUUCAGGUUAUGUCGAUAUAGGACUCGUUUUAAUGUGGAUAUAGAUACUUUGUACCUGUUUCCACUAGCAUCUUCAGAGGGUCCUUUGCUGCUGUUCUGGGAUUGAUUUGCACUUUUCGCACCAAAGUAUGUUCAUCUCUAGGAGACAGAACGCGUCUCCUUCCUGAGCGGUAUGAUGGCUGUGUGGUUCUGUGGUGUUUAUACUUGCGUACUAUUGUUUGUACAGAUGAACAUGAUACUUUCAGGCGUUUGGAAAUUGCUCCUAAGGAUGAACCAGACUUGUGGAGGUCUACAAUUUGUUUUCUGAGGUCUUGGCUGAUUUCUUUUGAUUUUCCUAUGAUGUCAAGCAAAGAUGCACUGAGUUUGAAGGUAGGCCUUGAAAUACAUCCACAGGUACACCUCCAAUUGACUUAGGCUAAUUGACAUCAUUUAUCAGAAGCUUCUAAAGCCAUGACAUUUUCUGGAAUUUUCCAAGCUGUUUAAAGGCACAGUCAACUUGGUGUAUGUAAACGUCUGACCCACUGGAAUUGUGAUACAGAUUAUUUCACUUAUAACUGAUGUAUGUAAACAAUUGGUGAAAAAAUUACUUGUGUCAUGCACAAAGUAGAUGUCCUAAACGACUUGCCAAAACUAUAGUUUGUUAACAAGAAAUUUGUGGAGUGGUUGAAAAACGAGUUUUAAUGACUCCAACCUAAGUGUAUGCAAACUUCCGACUUCAACUGUAUAUAUAUGUGUGUGUAUCUAUAUAUAUGUAUUAAACUUUAGAGAGCUUAAGCAUCGAAUACAUUGCAAGUUGGGUGGAGUUUCACACCUAAAGUAGCCGGGCUAUUAAACCAAAUAGUUGGAUAUCACAGAUCGGCCCUCAGAACUCAUCAAUAUGCUUUAAAUGCCACAAUAUCACAAGUAAUUGAACACACACAACAUGAGCAGAUUAACUUGGUCAAAACAGUCAAAACAUUUAUUUAUUAAACACCUGCUGCGCUCUGCGCUUGAAACCAGCUCUCUGUUUCUCUCGUGUUCAUUACGGUGUGGUGUCCAGGAGUUCCCUUUUCCCGGUGCAGAAUACACAAGGUUUCUCCCUCCCCAGAUACAAUACAAUUCAAUCAUUAAAAAAAGACAAUACAAGUAAAAGUUCUGUCUUGUAAAAUUGUAAUGCCGAGUGCCAGGUCUCUCUCCAUUCAGAGACAUCAGUUUCAAGCCCGUCUGUCAGUCUGGACUGGAGUCAUCCCAUCAUCUUGCAAGUCUCCAUGUGCUGGCUGCAUAUAUAUGUUUCUGUGAACACAUACACACAUAGUCACUGUUCUAUUACCAAUGGCAGUUAGGAUAGAUACCAUCUGAAACACAAACAGGUACUAUGUUGAAGUUUGAACAGGUCAAAUAAAACCUACCCAAUGACGGUCUCCCCAUCAGACUGAGUCUGCCAUCUGGCAAAAAGCAUCUCCAGUCCAUCUGUAGAAAUAGGCAGAGUUGAAGCAGAGUUCCUCAGUGACACAUGGAAUGAAAAGGGUGUUGUUAUUACUGAACAUUUGUGCUGUACUGUUUAUUAAUAAUGACCUCAUUGUGGAUGUGUUGAGUUGAUGUGUUGAGUGCCAGAUCUCUGCAUAUCAUGCAUCGGUAAAAACAUAUACACAGACACUGUUCUACCAAUGCCAAUUAGGGAUAGGUGAUGUCUGACAGGUGAUAUAUACACUAUGUUGAAGUUUGAAUAAGUCCGACUAAACCUACCUAAUUCUGUUCCAUCGAUGACCAUUGGUGAGCAGGCAAGAGGUGGGGCUGUAGGUGAUGUCUUUGCCGGAGAAUAGCGGAGUAGAUGAGCUCCUGGCCCCUCAGCAGCAUAGAUGAGCUCCUGGCCCCUCAUCAAAGAUACUGGUCGGUCACACACACACACACACACACACACACAGAGCACUGAUAACAUUAUCAAUGGUGAUUAUGAUUACCCUGGUGGAACCAACCUGAUCGCUGCAUUCACCUUUCUAUUAUUAAACUUCAGAUAUCAUAAAAUGUGAAAUGAAAUAGAAUGGUGAACACAGUGAUCAGCCGCAGCCUCUGUACCUGGCUUCCUGCAACCUGCCCGAGCUUCCCCUGGUCUGCACCCCAUUUUCCCCCUGUGUUUCAAU